UACGUAGGGUGCAAGCGUUAAUCGGAAUUACUGGGCGUAAAGCGUGCGCAGGCGGUUUUGUAAGUCUGUCGUGAAAGCCCCGGGCUCAACCUGGGAAUUGCGAUGGAGACUGCAAGGCUUGAAUCUGGCAGAGGGGGGUAGAAUUCCACGUGUAGCAGUGAAAUGCGUAGAGAUGUGGAGGAACACCGAUGGCGAAGGCAGCCCACUGGGUCAAGAUUGACGCUCAUGCACGAAAGCGUGGGGAGCAAACAGG
rnacentral:rRNA from 1 species